rnacentral:rRNA from 1 species
AACGAACGCUGGCGGCAGGCCUAACACAUGCAAGUCGAGCGAGGUAGCAAUACCUAGCGGCGGACGGGUGAGUAACGCGCGGGAACGUGCCCUUUGCUACGGAAUAGCCUCGGGAAACUGGGAGUAAUACCGUAUGUGCCCUUCGGGGGAAAGAUUUAUCGGCAAAGGAUCGGCCCGCGUUGGAUUCGGUAGUUGGUGAGGUAAUGGCUCACCAAGCCGACGAGCCAUAGCGGGUUUGAGAGGAUGCUCAGCCACACUGGGACUGAGACACGGCCCAGACUCCUACGGGAGGCAGCAGUGGGGAAUCUUAGACAAUGGGCGCAAGCCUGAUCUAGCCAUGCCGCGUGAGCGAUGAAGGCCUUAGGGUUGUAAAGCUCUUUCAGUGGGGAAGAUAAUGACUGUACCCACAGAAGAAGCCCCGGCUAACUCCGUGCCAGCAGCCGCGGUAA